rnacentral:tRNA from 1 species
GGUUCCAUAGUGUAGCGGUUAGCACGUCUGCUUUACAUGCAGAAGAAAUGUGGUUUGUACCCCAGUGGAGCCA